GUAGGUGAACCUGCGGAAGGAUCAUUAUUGACUUGCGGCUGCUUGCAGCCGUCAUUUCAUAACCCUUGACUUUUGAGCACCAUUUGUUUUCCCCCGGCGGGGCAACCCGCCGGCUGGGACUCCAUCAAACCCUUUGUAUCAGCAGUAUCUUCAGAACUUUAUAAUUUAUUAAAACUUUCAACAAUGGAUCUCUUGGCUCUG
rnacentral:misc_RNA from 1 species